AGAGUUUGAUCAUGGCUCAGAACGAACGCUGGCGGCAGGCUUAACACAUGCAAGUCGAACGCACCUUUCGGGGUGAGUGGCAGACGGGUGAGUAACGCGUGGGAACGUGCCCUUCAGUUCGGAAUAACCCAGGGAAACUUGGGCUAAUACCGGAUACGUGCGAGAGCAGAAAGAUUUAUCGCUGAAGGAUCGGCCCGCGUCUGAUUAGCUAGUUGGUGAGGUAAUGGCUCACCAAGGCGACGAUCAGUAGCUGGUCUGAGAGGAUGAUCAGCCACAUUGGGACUGAGACACGGCCCAAACUCCUACGGGAGGCAGCAGUGGGGAAUAUUGGACAAUGGGCACAAGCCUGAUCCAGCCAUGCCGCGUGAGUGAUGAAGGCCUUAGGGUUGUAAAGCUCUUUCGUCCGGGACGAUAAUGACGGUACCGGAAGAAGAAGCCCCGGCUAACUUCGUGCCAGCAGCCGCGGUAAUACGAAGGGGGCUAGCGUUGUUCGGAAUCACUGGGCGUAAAGGGCGCGUAGGCGGCUUUGUAAGUCGGGGGUGAAAGCCUGUGGCUCAACCACAGAAUUGCCUUCGAUACUGCAUGGCUUGAGACCGGAAGAGGUUAGUGGAACUGCGAGUGUAGAGGUGAAAUUCGUAGAUAUUCGCAAGAACACCAGUGGCGAAGGCGGCUGACUGGUCCGGUUCUGACGCUGAGGCGCGAAAGCGUGGGGAGCAAACAGGAUUAGAUACCCUAGUAGUCC
rnacentral:rRNA from 1 species